rnacentral:tRNA from 1 species
CCAAUCUCCCUAAGACUC